GAUGAACGCUGGCGGCGUGCUUAACACAUGCAAGUCGAACGGAAAGGCCCAAGCUUGCUUGGGUACUCGAGUGGCGAACGGGUGAGUAACACGUGGGUGAUCUGCCCUGCACUUCGGGAUAAGCCUGGGAAACUGGGUCUAAUACCGGAUAGGACCACAUUUUGGAUGGUGUGGUGGAAAGUUUUUCGGUGUGGGAUGAGCUCGCGGCCUAUCAGCUUGUUGGUGGGGUAAUGGCCUACCAAGGCGUCGACGGGUAGCCGGCCUGAGAGGGUGUACGGCCACAUUGGGACUGAGAUACGGCCCAGACUCCUACGGGAGGCAGGAGUGGGGAAUAUUGGACAAUGGGAGCAAGCCUGAUGCAGCGACGCCGCGUGGGGGAUGAAGGCCUUCGGGUUGUAAACUCCUUUCGCUAGGGACGAAGCGUUUUUGUGACGGUACCUGGAGAAGAAGCACCGGCUAACUACGUG
rnacentral:rRNA from 1 species